rnacentral:lncRNA from 1 species
GUAAACAUCUCUGUGUAUCCAGGGAGCCGUGUGUAUACUAAACAUAAACCUUGGAAACUCUAAAAGUGAAGGAAAGACUGGAGACGAGGUGCAGCCCCUGAGAAUCUGUGGUUCUCCCGUGUAUUCCUUCACUAUUGAG